rnacentral:lncRNA from 1 species
UUUAACAGGAAACUUUUCUUCUUCAAAGGAUGAAAUUCCUGGAUGCAGCUCUGGCGUUAAUCACUAGCCUCUUUCCAGUUAACGCCUGAUUUCAGAUUCCCCUUUUUCUCAGAAGCCCUUCUCUUCAGGCUGGGUCUCUCGCCAAGUGACUGGUGGCUGAGGAAAUUACAGCAACAGCAGGAGGUUGAAGUCAACAGCAGGAGGACUGCUAAAUCCUUAUGCUGUCUGUAUUCUCCUUGGGACAAAGGCUCUGCCCCUUCCUGCCGGGUGUGAUGCUGUGUCACUGGUCUCUCUCAGCUGGGGUGCUCACUUUAGGAAGCAUUAUCCUGCUGGAGGAUGGUUAUGGGUGGAGUUGUUCCACUGGACCGGUAAGUGCCCCCUUAAUGAAGUGGUAAUCUCCAUUCAUGGGCCAUGGAUCCGAAGAAUGCUAAGCUCAGGAUGAAGCUCCCUUUUACCCCCGGCCAGAAUGAUAAGGUCCCAAGUUUUGACCCUGUAGUUCGAGAUGAAGAAGAUCUCUAUGGUAUUUUCUGCACGAGGUGCAAUGGAUCUAGUCCCGAAGUAGUGCUUAACUAUGCAUUAAUAGCAGAUGAGUGUCCACCCGCCUCAGAAGAACUUUUCCCUGAACAAACAAUAAAAAUCAAACUCAUCAGAGUCUUGAAGUAUUGUCCAAGUGCUAUCAUCUUCACUGAGGAUUGCGUCUGGUGCAGAGGGAGCAUUGUUAUUGGGAAUGGACUUCCCAGCAAUGCUAACAUAUUCACCUUUAAUGGCUCUGCUCAACUGAAAUGCAGACCUGGAAGUGAAUGGGAGAGAAGAGAUGAUCAAUCCUGGCAGGCUGAACACCACAGAUCAGAACUGAAGAGAGACCAAUGCAUUCUGGCAUGUGAGAGCAAUGGAGCCGGAAAGAGCAUACGUUCUCGUAACCACCCAGACCUCGAUGAAGUGGAGACGGGGCCCUGCUGUGUGAGCCAGCUGCUCCACUACAGUUCUCCCCUUUAUUCUAAUCCCGUGCUUACAC